AACGCUGGCGGUCUGCUUAACACAUGCAGGUCGAACGGGCUCUUCGGAGCUAGUGGCGGACGGGUGAGUAACGCGUGAGAAUCUGCCUUCAGGAGGGGGAUAACGACUGGAAACGGUCGCUAAUACCCCAUAUGCCUCCGGGUGAAAAGUAAUUCGCCUGAAGAUGAGCUCGCGUCAGAUUAGCUAGUUGGUGGGGUAAGAGCCUACCAAGGUGACGAUCUGUAGCUGGUCUGAGAGGAUGAUCAGCCACACUGGGACUGAGACACGGCCCAGACUCCUACGGGAGGCAGCAGUGGGGAAUUUUCCGCAAUGGGCGCAAGCCUGACGGAGCAAGACCGCGUGGGGGAUGACGGCCUAAUGGUUGUAAACCCCUUUUCUCUGGGAAGAAGACUGACGGUACCAGAGGAAUCAGCCUCGGCUAACUCCGUGCCAGCAGCCGCGGUAAUACGGAGGAGGCAAGCGUUAUCCGGAAUUAAUUGGGCGUAAAGCGUCCGUAGGUGGUUAUUCAAGUCUGCUGUCAAAGCGUGGGGCUUAACUCCAUAGAGGCAGUGGAAACUGAGUGACUAGAGUGCGGUAGGGGUCGAGGGAAUUCCCAGUGUAGCGGUGAAAUGCGUAGAUAU
rnacentral:rRNA from 1 species